rnacentral:tRNA from 3 species
GGAGAAGUACCCAAGUGGUGAAGGGGCUCCCCUGCUAAGGGAGUAGGUCGGGUAACCGGCGCAUGGGUUCAAAUCCCAUCUUCUCCGCCA